GUGGGGAAUCUUGCGCAAUGGGCGAAAGCCUGACGCAGCCAUGCCGCGUGAAUGAUGAAGGUCUUAGGAUUGUAAAAUUCUUUCACCGGGGACGAUAAUGACGGUACCCGGAGAAGAAGCCCCGGCUAACUUCGUGCCAGCAACCGCGGUAAUACGAAGGGGGCUAGCGUUGCUCGGAAUUACUGGGCGUAAAGGGCGCGUAGGCGGACAGUUUAGUCAGAGGUGAAAGCCCAGGGCUCAACCUUGGAAUUGCCUUUGAUACUGGAUGUCUUGAGGACGGGAGAGGUGGGUGGAACUCCGGGUGUAGAGGUAAAAUUCGUAGAUAUUCGGAAGAACACCAGUGGCGAAGGCGACUCACUGGCCCGUAACUGACGCUGGGGCGCGAAAGCGUGGGGAGCAAACAGGAUUAGAUACCCUGGUAGUCC
rnacentral:rRNA from 1 species